rnacentral:misc_RNA from 1 species
GGGGUUUUGAGGUACUCAUCAAUGGAGAAGAGAAAAUUUGUAGUGAAGGAACUUCUCAAGGACAAGAAACUCUGGUUCGCUUCAUUCCUCAUUGUCUGGGCUGCUGCUCUCCAGGGUCACAUGAUGUGGUUGCAGAGGCAAGAUUCUUUCAAGGACAAGUUUGGGAACCUAAAAAAUGAAGGCAUAGAUCAACAGGAGCUGGCAGAUAAUCAAUGAACCCGUAGUACUAGAAAAACAGUCGAGAGCAAUACUGGAAACGGCACCACAAAGAGAAGGUUCAGUUGCUUACUGCUCACAGAUGAUAGAUCCUCCACUUUUUGGAUCCUGAACUCUCAUUAGUUACUUCAAUGUACGUUUUAUCAGACUCUCAAUCCUCAGGUCACUUGUUUAUGAACUCACGUUUGGUUCGUCUUAUGAUGACAAUUACGUCUUCUAAGAUGCUAUGAGGUAGUCUACUUUUGAUAUGUAAA